rnacentral:misc_RNA from 1 species
AAGUUGUAACAAGGUUUCCGUAGGUGAACCUGCGGAAGGAUCAUUAACAAAUCCGUGUUGGUGUUGUGCGUGCACUUUGUGUGUGCGUGCAGUAUCACAUAAACUCGGGGAGAGGCGACUUUUGCUUCUCCUCGAAUCAUCAUAUAUGUGUAGUUGACUAAUUUGUGGACUAAUAUUUAAAACUUUUAACAAUGGAUCUCUAGGCUCUU